rnacentral:lncRNA from 1 species
ACAUCAUCUUAGAAAAGCAGUAUAAUAUUUAUUCUGUCUUAUGAGUUUAGUAAGAGAUGUAUUAUUUCUUACUGAGAUUUUUUGUAUUUCCAAAUUAUGAUUACAUAAUGAUGAAACUCUGAGAGAAUAUAGACAGUUCCUUUAUAGUUAUUCCUGGGCCAACUCAUUAAAGGAAAUGAUUCCUCUGCCUCUAUAAUCAAGGCGGGGUCUGCAGAUGCAGUUUGGCACACGAGUGAGAUACAACAAUUUUAUGGGCAUCAUCAUUCUCACCAGCAUUCUUCUCUGGGGGACAUAGGGAAUAAGGGAAACAGGAAACAAUGUAGUAAAGAACUGCCUUCUACGCAACUUUCAAAGGAGAACCCAGAGGGAAAUUAUUGAUAAUCAUGAACAAGAUAAUGCAUGUUGUGGUUAAACUGCAUUCUUGUGAGCCUAAUGACUUUUAAAACUACUUAGAAGAUUGGUUUAUCAACUCUGGAGAAUUAUCUGUAAUGUGAGACAACUCUGUUUUUGAAAAUAUCUUAUUUGAACAUGGAGUUGCUACUGUUGUGAUAUAAAAGUUAUACAACCUUCAAAUGAAAUUUAAAAAUCAUACUAUGAACAAAUGAAGGAUAUGUCGUAAUUGAAAUUCACAACUUGUUUCAGAAAACUUCCUGACUCAUUAACAACAGGGUGUUGGCAACAGGAAAGAAUAAGUCUCUUUCUUAAGUAUUUGGAAACACCAUUCAUUUUUUAGACUACUCAUUCACUAGUAGUCUCACAGAUAUCAUUUGAUAUCAUUUUCCAGUUAACCCUGUUUGGUUAUCUUUUGACUUAAGUAAAAUGUUAAGUAAAAUGUUGUUAGGUCUUGUCAAUAACUGGCAACUUCCAAGGAAGUAAUAGUAUCUCUCCUUUUCUUCUUUCAGUGGGUGGCCUAAGAUUUAGAUGUAUACAGAUGGGAGCCAAUAUUGAGCCGUGGGCAACAGUUUAGUGAAUCAUUGUUGCCUGGUCUCUAGUUUAAACACUUCGGGCAUGACAUAGAAAUUUUUAUGUCUUUAACAUGUUCUCCCAAACUGCACUGUUUUAUUUUCUUGUGUGUUUAUGCGUGUGUGUCUGUGCGUAGAGGGGGAGGGAGGGAGUAGGACAGACAAGAAAAGUAAAAGACCACACACAUUGCUGAUCUAUACACUUAUUUCAUACUUUAGCAAUUUCCAAACCACCCUUUAUUGGAUUAAGUUCACGGUGGGUAGUUAGUAAAGCUUAUUGAAAAGUCAUCAAGAUGGUGUGUUUGCUGCUAUUUACUCUUAUACUUUGGCCAAAGUUCACAUUCUAGUUGGAAAUAACUGAAAUUAAAAAUUUACUUACCUCUAAAUAUAAAUUAAAAAUUCAAUCUUGGAGUUCCCGUCCUGGCUCAGCAUUAACGAACCCAACUUGUAUUCAUGAGGAUGUGGGUUCGAUUCCUGACCUCGAGAGAUCUGGCAUAGCCAUGAGCUGUGGCGUAGGUCAAAGACAUGGCUCAGAUCCCACGUCGCUGUGGCCAUGGCAUAGGCCAGCAGCUACAGAUUUGAUUUGACCCCUAGCCUGGGAACUUCCAUAUGCUACCCGUUGGCCCUAAAAAAGACAAAAAAUAAAUAAAUAAAUAAAAUUUUUUAAAAAAUUCAAUCUUAUUUACAGCUCUCAGAAAGUACAGACACUAUAGGACACAACACUGCAAGUUAAAAAGAUUUAGUGGCACUAAACUGGUCAUUCGGAAUACACUUAUUGAGUGCUUCCUAGGUACAAGGCACUAUGCCAAGCACUAAAUCUAAAAAGGCACCUAAAAACUAUGCUUAGAAAUAGGGCAGCAGACAUUAUUUUCUUGUGUUGACAGAAUGUUCCUAUCUACAUCGCAGGACAUAGAACUAGGUAAAUUAAACUGAAUUUUCUCAUGUUUCUAUCCAGAAGUAGAAGGAAUGAGAAAAUUAUGGGCAGAAUUUAUGUCAUCCUUGGAUGGUAGCACAUGGUAUCAAUGAAAAACUGGCUUCCAGUCUUCUUUUUAGUUUAUAAUCCAUCUUAUUUCAACUCAUCCCUGAACAUACACUCCUUUCCAGCUGCUCCCCCCACCCCAUCUUCAUCCUCUUUUAGACUCCCCCCCACCAAGUUUCUGCAAAGGUUUCACCUGUAAAUCUAUCCAUCCAUGCUAUUAUUACAGAUUUCUAAUAAUACAAAUAUCAACAUCAUGCAGCCCGAAGGAAAAUUCCACAGUAGUGUAUUUUGGGGAAAAAAAAAAAGGAUUAAACACACACACAGAAAGUGAUUUUUUCAGAUAAUAAAAUGUAUAAAUGUAUUUCAGGAAUAGACAAUAGCCUUCUAAGCAGAUUUGGAACUUCUCCAUGGACAUGAUCUUAACCCGCUAACCCCAAGUGAUCUGCCAUGUGAGACUGUUUUCAGUGGUUCUGAGGGAGUAAGAGGCUUUUUUACAAAAUGUUUGGGGGUUCAGAAUUCAAAUUUAAAUUGCUGUAUAAAGAAAUUCCAUUUUACAGGGCAGUAUUUGAAAUAAUAUUUGCAAAUAUAGCUUCUAGAGUGCUGCUCCUCUAAGAGCCAGCUUCUGGAUGUACAUUGACUUAACCACUGAAGACAGGUAGUUACUUUUUGGAGAUUUUUUGAAGCAGCAAAUAUACAACAUCCUUU